GAUGAACGCUGGCGGCGUGCCUAAUACAUGCAAGUCGAGCGGCAGCACGGUCUUCGGACUGGUGGCGAGCGGCGGACGGCUGAGUAACGCGUAGGAACGUACCCCAAAGUGAGGGAUAACUGCUCGAAAGAGUAGCUAAUACCGCAUGUGGUCUAAGGAUUAAAGCUUCGGCGCUUUGGGAACGGCCUGUGUAAGAUUAGCUAGUUGGUGAGGUAAUGGCUCACCAAGGCGAUGAUCUUUAGCUGGUCUGAGAGGAUGAUCAGCCACACUGGGACUGAGACACGGCCCAGACCCCUACGGGAGGCAGCAGUGGGGAAUAUUGGACAAUGGGCGCAAGCCUGAUCCAGCCAUGCCGCGUGAGUGAUGAAGGCCUUAGGGUUGUAAAGCUCUUUUAUCCGGGACGGUAAUGACGGUACCGGAGGAAUAAGCCCCGGCUAACUUCGUGCCAGCAGCCGCAGUAA
rnacentral:rRNA from 1 species